rnacentral:rRNA from 1 species
AGUGAACGCUGGCGGUAUGCCUAACACAUGCAAGUCGAACGGCAGCACAGUAAGCUUUCGCUCCUACGGGUGGCGAGUGGCGGACGGGUGAGGCAUACAUCGGAAUCUUCUUUUUCGUGGGUGAUUACGUAGGGAAACUUACGCUAAUACCGCAUACGUCCUACGGGUGAAAGCAGGAGAUCUUCGGACCUUGCGUGUCUGAAUUAGCCGAUGCCGCAUUAGCUAGUUGGCGAGGUAAAGGCCCACCAAGGCGACGAUGCGUAGCUGAUCUGAGAGGAUGAUCAGCCACACUGGAACUGAGACACGGUCCAGACUCCUACGGGAGGCAGCAGUAGGGAAUCUUGGGCAAUGGGCGCAAGCCUGACCCAGCCAUGCCGCGUGAGUGAAGAAGGCCUUCGGGUCGUAAAGCCCUGUUGUUGGGAAAGAACAACAGCAGGUGUAUCCCCCGCUGUUCUGACGGUACCCAAUGAAUAAGCACCGGCUAACUUCGUG